rnacentral:rRNA from 1 species
UACAGGGGGGGCAAGCGUUGUUCGGAUUUACUGGGCGUAAAGGGCGCGUAGGCGGCUUAACAAGUCACUUGUGAAAUCUCCGGGCUUAACUCGGAACGGCCAAGUGAAACUGUCAAGCUAGAGUGCAGAAGGGGCAAUCGGAAUUCUUGGUGUAGCGGUGAAAUGCGUAGAUAUCAAGAGGAACACCUGAGGUGAAGACGGGUUGCUGGGCUGACACUGACGCUGAGGCGCGAAAGCCAGGGGAGCAAACGGG